GAUGUCUGUUCUGAAGGCGAUACGGUGCCGAUCCCUUUCUGAGUUGAUAUGUAUGCUGUGACCUUUAAAC